rnacentral:rRNA from 1 species
CCUACGGGGGGCAGCAGUGGGGAAUAUUGCACAAUGGGCGAAAGCCUGAUGCAGCAACGCCGCGUGAGCGAUGAAGGCCUUCGGGUCGUAAAGCUCUGUCCUCAAGGAAGAUAAUGACGGUACUUGAGGAGGAAGCCCCGGCUAACUACGUGCCAGCAGCCGCGGUAAUACGUAGGGGGCUAGCGUUAUCCGGAAUUACUGGGCGUAAAGGGUGCGUAGGCGGAUUUUUAAGUCAGCGGUAAAAUGUCCGGGCUCAACCCGGGCCGGCCGUUGAAACUGGGGAUCUUGAGUGGGCGAGAAGUAUGCGGAAUGCGUGGUGUAGCGGUGAAAUGCAUAGAUAUCACGCAGAACUCCGAUGGCGAAGGCAGUAUACCGGCGCCCGAUUGACGCUGAGGCACGAAAGCGUGGGGAUCGAACAGGAUUAGAUACCCCAGUAGUC